UCGUGUGAAAAUUAGGUAGUGCGCCUUUAAUUUAACCCUCUGAAAACGAAGCCCGCUACAGUGCGUUUUGACAGCUUUACGUUUUUAAAAUCUGUAUAUCUCCGCGACAAUACGUCGCCGAGAUACGUUUAAAAUACUGGAUGAAUCCGGAGGAUUUCCUCUUCCGUUCAUUUCUCUACCGUAAGCUCCUCUGCGAUUCACAGAGAAAGAUAGGGGGACGAACGUGUCGGGUGACGCGGCACCGAGUACUGUGAUUUGCCAAUGCGGUUGUCCGUCAACAUUUUGCGGAGAAGAACAACCAAUGAACACUCAAGAAAUCACAAGGACCUGCCCACCUUGAAGCUCAUUAGCAGUCUGUCAGUCAGAGAAGCCAGAGAACACGGCGCGAACGGACUUCACUACAAGGAAGCAGCUGCAGCGACUUUGGCGAGCAGCGCGGAGCCUCAGAGGAGCUGCAGAGCCACGAGGAGGAACACGCAGCCAGAAGAGAUCCACUUGGACCGGAGAGGAUUCACCAGCACCUGCAGCCCCACCUGCAGCUCUACCUGUCCGGCCAGCAAUGGUCUCGUGCCCCGGAGGACCAUGACACGAUGACAUGAUGCCAUUAUAGUGAAGCCAUAUUGUAAAUAUUCUGUAUCAAUAUUUGUGUUCUGUUUUCUAUUUCUCAACAUGAAUAUUAUGGAGAAUAUAUUUACUUUUUGUAAUGUAUAAUACAUUUAUUUGAAGAAGAAAAAAUGUAAAUGGUCAUUUUUUAUUUGCACACACCCCAUGAAACUUUAUCUGCAAUAUUAAGUCAUUUCUCAGUCCCAUCUUUAUCAUUUUGGUGAAUGUGUGACGGACCACAUCAAUUCUACUCAAAAAACUAUAAUAAAAAUUUUGGUUUUUGACAUAUAUACAUGUAUCUAGCAUUGUAUUCAGAUAUUUCACUGCUUUUGUGAACCCAUGACCUUUGGUAAACCAAUUUUAAACACCAAAACAGUUGGUCCACAUGAGUAAAGGUGUGUUUUCAGAAGAGAUAUGAAGAAUUUUUAGAAAUCGAACUUACAUUUUCAACUUUAGGGCCAUAUUUUUUCUUUCCACUUGUACCUGAGGUCAAUUGUGCCUCAUUAUAUAGAGAGCUGAGAUUGUUCUGGAAUUUUUGAUGUAUAACACAUGGGUAUGUGUCAUAUGCAAAAGCCUUUUAAAGGUGAAUUUAAUUUUGUUUGUAAAAUCGAGUCGAAAGGGCUGCGUUUGAGGAACAACUCAUAGAGCUGCAGCACAACAACAUCCUCAAAGAAAGACACAAGGAGGAGAGCAUUGACACAUUCUGGAUAUCCUGUGUUCUGAGGAACACAAACCCUGCAUUAAUCCUGUGUGCUCAGAAAAUCCUGACCUGCUUUGGAUCUACUUAUGUGUGUGAAAGCUCCUUCUCUGCCAUGGGAAUAAUAAAAUCAAAGCAGCGUUCCUGUCUAACUGACAGACAUUUGGCAGACUAUCUCAGAGCAGCUACAACUGAGCAACAACCGGAUCUGAAAGGACUUGUGAAAAGAAUGCACACUCAGAGCUCUCACUAGGAAUAAGUAAACAGUUUGUUAUAUUGUUAUUGUUAUUAAUAUUUGUGAAAUGCAGACUCAGAGCUCUCAAUAGGAAAAGUAGCAAUUGCAAACUUUAUCAAUGUCAUCAAUGCAAAGCUAUUCACUCCAGUGUUAAUAAAACAUCAGCUUGA